rnacentral:rRNA from 1 species
UACGUAGGGUGCAAGCGUUAAUCGGAAUUACUGGGCGUAAAGCGUGCGCAGGCAGUUUCGUAAGUCUGUCGUGAAAUCCCCGGCUUAACCUGGGAAUGGCGAUGGAGACUGCGAGGCUAGAGUUUGGCAGAGGGGGGUAGAAUUCCACGUGUAGCAGUGAAAUGCGUAGAGAUGUGGAGGAACACCGAUGGCGAAGGCAGCCCCCUGGGUCAAAACUGACGCUCAUGCACGAAAGCGUGGGGAGCAAACAGG